rnacentral:rRNA from 1 species
GACGAACGCUGGCGGCGUGCUUAACACAUGCAAGUCGAACGAAGAGCGAUGGAAGCUUGCUUCUAUCAAUCUUAGUGGCGAACGGGUGAGUAACGCGUAAUCAACCUGCCCUUCAGAGGGGGACAACAGUUGGAAACGACUGCUAAUACCGCAUACGAUCUAAUCUCGGCAUCGAGGAUAGAUGAAAGGUGGCCUCUACAUGUAAGCUAUCACUGAAGGAGGGGAUUGCGUCUGAUUAGCUAGUUGGAGGGGUAACGGCCCACCAAGGCGAUGAUCAGUAGCCGGUCUGAGAGGAUGAACGGCCAAAUGGGGACUGAGACCCGGCCCAGACUCCUACGGGGGGCAGGAGGGGGGAAUCUUCCGCAAUGGACGAAGUUCUGACGGAGCAACGCCGGGUGGGUAAUGACGGCCUUCGGGUUGUAAAGCUCUGUUAAUGGGGACGAAAGGCCUUCUUGGAAAUAGGGAGAAGGAUUGACGGUACCGGAAAAAAAAGCCACGGCUAACUACGU